UACCUGGUUGAUCCUGCCAGUAGCAUAUGCUUGUCUCAAAGAUUAAGCCAUGCAUGUCUAAGUACAAGCCGCUUGACGGCGAAACCGCGAAUGGCUCAAUAAAUCAGUUAUGGUUCCUUAGAUCCACCCAUCCUACUUGGAUAACUGUGGUAAUUCUAGAGCUAAUACAUGCACUCAAGUCCCGACUUUGGCAACAAAGAAAGGAUGCUUUUAUUAGAUCAAAACCAGUCGGGCUCGAGCCUUAAAACUCGGCCCGUACCGUUUGGUGACUCUGGAUAACUUCCCGCUGAUCGCACGGUCUCGCACCGGCGACGCGUCUUUCAAAUGUCUGCCUUAUCAACUGUCGAUGGUAGGUUACGCGCCUACCAUGGUUGCAACGGGUAACGGGGAAUCGGGGUUCGAUUCCGGAGAGGGAGCCUGAGAAACGGCUACCACAUCCAAGGAAGGCAGCAGGCGCGCAAAUUACCCACUCCCGGCACGGGGAGGUAGUGACGAAAAAUAACGAUACGGGACUCUUCCGAGGCCCCGUGAUUGGAAUGAGUACACUUUAAAUCCUUUAACGAGGACCCAUUGGAGGGCAAGUCUGGUGCCAGCAGCCGCGGUAACUCCAGCUCCAAUAGCGUAUAUUAAAGUUGUUGCGGUUAAAAAGCUCGUAGUCGGAAGUCUGUCUUCGGCCGGGUCGCGGCUCUCUGAAUUAAGGGAGUUCCGUUAUGGCUCUGCUGGCCGGGGUGUCAAAGCCCCGGCUGCUUAGCGGUCGGACAACACCGCCGGAGUGCCGCGGGAUCGCCCGGAUCAGGCGAGGCGGUGGGCGUUAAAACCCGCCGUCGCGUCCCGGGGACGAACCGCGGCCGUAAUCGUCCGGGGUGCCCUUCAUCGGGUGUCUCGGGCGGCCGGCACUGUUUACUUUGAACAAAUUAGAGUGCUCAAAGCAGGUGCAUCCCACGCCUGAAUAUUACAGCAUGGAAUGAUAAAAGAGGACCUCGGUCUUAUUUUGCUGGUCUUUAUUCUUUAGACCCGAGGUAAUGGUCAAUAGAGACGGACGGGGGCAUCCGUACUGCGGCGACAGAGGUGAAAUUCUUGGACCGCCGCAAGACGAACAACAGCGAAGGCAUUUGCCAAGAAUGUUUUCCUUGAUCAAGAACGAAAGUUAGAGGUUCGAAGGCGAUCAGAUACCGCCCUAGUUCUAACCAUAAACGAUGCCAACCAGCAAUCCGCCGGUGUUACUCCCAUGACUCGGCGGGCGGCUUCCGGGAAACCAAAGUUUUUGGGUUCCGGGGGAAGUAUGGUUGCAAAGCUGAAACUUAAAGGAAUUGACGGAAGGGCACCACCAGGAGUGGAGCCUGCGGCUUAAUUUGACUCAACACGGGAAACCUCACCAGGCCCGGACACUGGAAGGAUUGACAGAUUGAGAGCUCUUUCUUGAUUCGGUGGGUGGUGGUGCAUGGCCGUUCUUAGUUGGUGGAGCGAUUUGUCUGGUUAAUUCCGAUAACGAACGAGACUCUAGCCUGCUAAAUAGGUGGCGGGUUUUAUUGAAAAUUGAAACUUGGGGGUUCGGGGCUCCGGGAUCAGGCCGCGCUGUCGGUGCGUGCGUGUCUUGCCUCGUCUCGGCGGGGCUGUUCGGGUGCGGCAACGUGCUCGGGUUGUUUCGUCGGGGCGGGGCGGCGUGCGUGUCGGCGGCGAGGUCCCUGGAUGUCCUCGGGCCCUCGCGUCCGUCACAGCUCUUCUUAGAGGGACAAGCGGCGUCCAGCCGCGUGACAGUGAGCAAUAACAGGUCUGUGAUGCCCUUAGAUGUCCUGGGCCGCACGCGCGCUACACUGAAGGAAUCAGCGUGUUUCACUCUCCCUGUCCGAAAGGACCGGGUAACCGCUGAACCUCCUUCGUGGUUGGGAUUGGGGACUGCAAUGAUCCCCAUGAACCAGGAAUCCCUAGUAGGCGCGGGUCACUAGCCCGCGUCGAUUACGUCCCUGCCCUUUGUACACACCGCCCGUCGCUACUACCGAUUGAAUGAUUUAGUGAGGACUUCGGACGGGCCCGUCGGGGUGUUCCGGCUCGGGGGGCAACUCUCGGGUAUCGGGCUCCUAUUCACGGCGGGACUGAAAGAUGUCCGAACUUGAUCCUUUAGAGGAAGUAAAAGUCGUAACAAGGUUUCCGUAGGUGAACCUGCAGAUGGAUCAUUA
rnacentral:rRNA from 1 species